UACAGAGGGGGCAAGCGUUGUUCGGAAUUACUGGGCGUAAAGGGCGCGUAGGCGGCCUUCUAAGUCGAACGUGAAAUCCCUGGGCUCAACCCAGGAACUGCGUCCGAUACUGGAAGGCUUGAAUCCGGGAGAGGGAUGCGGAAUUCCAGGUGUAGCGGUGAAAUGCGUAGAUAUCUGGAGGAACACCGGUGGCGAAGGCGGCAUCCUGGACCGGCAUUGACGCUGAGGCGCGAAAGCUAGGGGAGCAAACGGGG
rnacentral:rRNA from 1 species